rnacentral:rRNA from 2 species
GUUAUAGGGUCAAGCGAAUAAGUGCAUGUGGUGGAUGCCUUGGCGAUCACAGGCGAUGAAGGACGUAGUAGCUUGCGAAAAGCUGCGGGGAGCUGGCAAACGAGCUUUGAUCCGCAGAUGUCCGAAUGGGGAAACCCGGCCCGUAUGGGUCAUCCCUUGCUGAAUACAUAGGCAAGGGAGGCGAACGCAGUGAACUGAAACAUCUAAGUAGCUGCAGGAAAAGAAAUCAACCGAGAUUCCCAGAGUAGUGGCGAGCGAAAUGGGAACAGCCUUGUACUCUUUAGCAGUAUUGUUAGCGGAACGGAAUGGAAAGUCCGGCCAUAGUGGGUGAUAGCCCCGUACGCGAAAACAGUAUUGUGGAACUAGGUGUACGACAAGUAGGGCGGGACACGUGAAAUCCUGUCUGAAGAUGGGGGGACCAUCCUCCAAGGCUAAAUACUCGUGAUCGACCGAUAGUGAACCAGUACCGUGAGGGAAAGGCGAAAAGAACCCCGGGAGGGGAGUGAAAUAGAUCCUGAAACCGCAUGCAUACAAACAGUCGGAGCCUGGAAACGGGUGACGGCGUACCUUUUGUAUAAUGGGUCAGCGACUUACAUUCAGUGGCAAGCUUAACCGAUUAGGGAAGGCGUAGCGAAAGCGAGUCCGAAUAGGGCGUUCAGUCGCUGGGUGUAGACCCGAAACCAAGUGAUCUAUCCAUGGCCAGGUUGAAGGUGCGGUAACACGUACUGGAGGACCGAACCCACUAACGUUGAAAAGUUAGGGGAUGAGCUGUGGAUAGGGGUGAAAGGCUAAACAAACUUGGAAAUAGCUGGUUCUCUCCGAAAACUAUUUAGGUAGUGCCUCGUGUCUCACCUUCGGGGGUAGAGCACUGUCAUGGUUGGGGGGUCUAUUGCUGAUUACCCCGCCAUAGCAAACUCCGAAUACCGAAGAGUGCAAUCACGGGAGACAGACAUCGGGUGCUAACGUCCGGUGUCAAGAGGGAAACAACCCAGACCGCCAGCUAAGGUCCCUAAGAUUGGCUAAGUGGGAAACGAAGUGGGAAGGCUAAAACAGUCAGGAGGUUGGCUUAGAAGCAGCCACCCUUUAAAGAAAGCGUAAUAGCUCACUGAUCGAGUCGUCCUGCGCGGAAGAUGUAACGGGGCUAAGCCAGUCACCGAAGCUGCGGAUGCACGUAAGUGCAUGGUAGGAGAGCGUUCUGUAAGCCUGUGAAGGUGUCUUGUAAAGGAUGCUGGAGGUAUCAGAAGUGCGAAUGCUGACAUGAGUAGCGAUAAAGGGGGUGAAAGGCCCCCUCGCCGUAAGCCCAAGGUUUCCUACGCAACGUUCAUCGGCGUAGGGUGAGUCGGCCCCUAAGGCGAGGCAGAGAUGCGUAGCUGAUGGGAAGCAGGUUAAUAUUCCUGCACCGUCGUAUGAUGCGAUGGGGGGACGGAUCGCGGAAGGUUGUCCGGGUGUUGGAAGUCCCGGUCCCUACAUUGGAGAUGGCACUUAGGCAAAUCCGGGUGCGUGAUUCAAGGGUGUGGGGCGAGCGACGUUAGGUCGCGAAGCAAUUGGAAGUGGUUCCAAGAAAAGCCUCUAAGCUUCAGUCAUACGAGACCGUACCGCAAACCGACACAGGUGGGCGAGAUGAGUAUUCUAAGGCGCUUGAGAGAACUCGGGAGAAGGAACUCGGCAAAUUGGUACCGUAACUUCGGGAUAAGGUACGCCCUUGUAGUUUGACUGGCUCGCGCCAGAAGGAUGAAGGGGUUGCAAUAAAAUGGUGGCUGCGACUGUUUAAUAAAAACACAGCACUCUGCAAACACGAAAGUGGACGUAUAGGGUGUGACGCCUGCCCGGUGCCGGAAGAUUAAAUGAUGGGGUGCAAGCUCUUGAUUGAAGUCCCGGUAAACGGCGGCCGUAACUAUAACGGUCCUAAGGUAGCGAAAUUCCUUGUCGGGUAAGUUCCGACCUGCACGAAUGGCGUAACGAUGGCCACACUGUCUCCUCCCGAGACUCAGCGAAGUUGAAGUGUUUGUGAUGAUGCAAUCUCCCCGCGGCUAGACGGAAAGACCCCAUGAACCUUUACUGUAGCUUUGCAUUGGACUUUGAACCGAUCUGUGUAGGAUAGGUGGGAGGCUUUGAAACCGGGACGCUAGUUUCGGUGGAGCCGACCUUGAAAUACCACCCUGGUUUGUUUGAGGUUCUAACCUUGGCCCGUGAAUCCGGGUCGGGGACAGUGCAUGGUAGGCAGUUUGACUGGGGCGGUCUCCUCCCAAAGUGUAACGGAGGAGUUCGAAGGUACGCUUGGUACGGUCGGACAUCGUACCUAAAGUGCAAUGGCAAAAGCGUGCUUAACUGCGAGACCGACAAGUCGAGCAGGUGCGAAAGCAGGACAUAGUGAUCCGGUGGUUCUGUAUGGAAGGGCCAUCGCUCAACGGAUAAAAGGUACUCUGGGGAUAACAGGCUGAUACCGCCCAAGAGUUCAUAUCGACGGCGGUGUUUGGCACCUCGAUGUCGGCUCAUCUCAUCCUGGGGCUGUAGCCGGUCCCAAGGGUAUGGCUGUUCGCCAUUUAAAGAGGUACGUGAGCUGGGUUUAAAACGUCGUGAGACAGUUUGGUCCCUAUCUGCCGUGGGCGUUGGAAUCUUGACGGGGGCUGCUCCUAGUACGAGAGGACCGGAGUGGACGUACCGCUGGUGUACCUGUUGUCUCGCCAGAGGCAUCGCAGGGUAGCUAUGUACGGAAGAGAUAACCGCUGAAAGCAUCUAAGCGGGAAACUCGCCUGAAGAUGAGGAUUCCCUGGAGACUUGAUCUCCCUGAAGGGUCGUUCGAGACCAGGACGUUGAUAGGCUGGGUGUGGAAGCGCAGUAAUGCGUUCAGCUAACCAGUACUAAUUGCCCGUGCGGCUUGAUCCUAUAACC